rnacentral:lncRNA from 1 species
UGAGGCUGUAACAGCGGUUUUUUGGGACAUCAAUAUGUGUCCCAUCUCCCGGGGAUCUGAUGCUCGUUGGGUCCGUCCGUCUAUUAAACCUUUUAUGGGGGAUACUUGGCGUACUAAUAGGCCUCCAUCCUGAGUGGGCUCUAUUCCAAUGGAAUCUCUCUCACUAACCUCCUCUGUUAAUAUCAGCCUCCUGGUUUUCCCCAGUUUGCUUCCUUGGUUUUACUUUCCAAGGCUUUGAAAAUAUAACCAAGCAUCUCCAAACUAGUGGACAUAAACAGAAGGUAAUCAAGCAUCCUAGCCAAACCGGACGGACUUAUUGUAUCAAUAUAUUUUGUCGUUGCCUCUUACCACGAGUAGUUUCCCUUUCUCAUUUCUAGGUUUGUUUGCCUAAUUUGACCUCGUGUGCAUUUUUUUUCAAGAAGCAGAGGUUGAACCGUUUGCCU